rnacentral:lncRNA from 1 species
AAGAAAUGAGAAAUGAAUUGGUUGAGUAUAUGAAGUUUUGGCAUUAUGCUUAGUAUAUAAAUUUGGUAUGUUUGGUUCGGCAAUUGAGCUUAAAAAUAGCUAUUGUUAUUCUGGUGAAUUGCACAUAAAUUAGUAGUAUCAAAAGUAUAUUUGGCCAUGUUGUAAUGUUAGCUAUUGUCUUAUAAGCUAAUGAAUAAUAUUCC